CCUACGGGAGGCUGCAGUGAGGAAUAUUGGUCAAUGGACGAGAGUCUGAACCAGCCAAGUAGCGUGAAGGAUGACUGCCCUAUGGGUUGUAAACUUCUUUUAUAUGGGAAUAAAAUGUUCCACGUGUGGGAUUUUGUAUGUACCAUAUGAAUAAGGAUCGGCUAACGCCGUGCCAGCAGCCGCGGUAAUACGGAGGAUCCGAGCGUUAUCCGGAUUUAUUGGGUUUAAAGGGAGCGUAGGUGGAUUUUUAAGUCAGUUGUGAAAGUUUGCGGCUCAACCGUAAAAUUGCAGUUGAAACUGGCAGUCUUGAGUACAGUAGAGGUGGGCGGAAUUCGUGGUGUAGCGGUGAAAUGCUUAGAUAUCACGAAGAACUCCGAUUGCGAAGGCAGUUCACUGGACUGCAACUGACACUGAGGCUCGAAAGUGUGGGUAUCAAACAGGAUUAGAUACCCCUGUAGUC
rnacentral:rRNA from 1 species